rnacentral:rRNA from 1 species
UACGUAGGGGGCAAGCGUUGUCCGGAUUUAUUGGGCGUAAAGAGCGUGUAGGCGGCCUGAAAGGUCAGCUGUGAAAACUCGAGGCUCAACCUCGAGACGUCGGUUGAAACCAUCUGGCUAGAGUCCGGAAGAGGAGUGUGGAAUUCCCGGUGUAGCGGUGAAAUGCGCAGAUAUCGGGAAGAACACCCGUGGCGAAGGCG